CUGCUUGAGUGAGGGUGAGGAAGGGCAGAUGAGAGGUGUUAGAGGUAGAAGGUGUUUACUUAGGGAAGGCUGAAGGCAAGAAGAGCAGCAGCAGCGGUUUUCUGGAUGACAUUCCCAAGCCAGAAGGAAUCUGCAAGGUUCUAUUCUAUCAUCACUCCUGUUCAUCUUGUAUGUGACUCAACAAUGGAGAUGGUAUAAUGCUUUGAGCUGAUUUAUUUCAUCAGUUUGAGCUCCUUGUAGACCGCGGCCACAGCAGUGCCCAGCUACAAGCCAGCCUCGUCUUUCAAAAGCAAUAGCAGCAGCAGUGCACACUCUGAACACUCCAGCCCCUGAAAGGGCUCACUCACCAUGAAAAAUUGCUAACUUCAUUUCAAAAGAAGUAGUACCAUUCAACAUAUGGGGCGGGGGGGGAAGCGCUAUGGAAAUCACAAGCUAAAGAAUUCUGCCACCAACCAGUUCAUAUAUGCAAAUGAUUAAACUUCAGCAUACAAACAGCCUUCACUCUGUCCCUAGGUUUGUUACUAUUUUAGAGCCUUAUUCUAACUUCCACUGAAGUAAUAGUAAUUUUUCCUUUUACUCUACUGGGAUUUGAAUCAAGCCAUUUUAUGCCCCUUUUAACAUUUUCUGAAUGGGGAUAAUUGAAUGCAUAUUAUUUGUUCUGCAGUAACAGAUUAAUGGUUCAAUAC